UCAUUUGUGGCUGAGUGGUAAAGCGCUUGGCUUCUGAACUAGGGGUCCCGGGUUCGAAUCCUGAUGAA
rnacentral:tRNA from 1 species